rnacentral:siRNA from 1 species
GACCGAGAUAUGCUGAGCUGAGA